rnacentral:rRNA from 1 species
UGGGGAAUAUUGCACAGUGGAGGGAACUCUGAUGCAGCGACGCCGCGUGAACGAAGAAGGCUUUCGAGUCGUAAAGUUCUUUUAUAUGGGAAGAUAAUGACGGUACCAUAAGAAAAAGCCCCGGCUAACUACGUGCCAGCAGCCGCGGUGAUACGUAGGGGGCUAGCGUUGUCCGGAAUCACUGGGCGUAAAGGGUUCGCAGGCGGAAAUGCAAGUCAGGUGUAAAAGGCAGUAGCUUAACUACUGUAAGCAUUUGAAACUGCAUAUCUUGAGAAGAGUAGAGGUAAGUGGAAUUUUUAGUGUAGCGGUGAAAUGCGUAGAUAUUAAAAAGAAUACCGGUGGCGAAGGCGACUUACUGGGCUCAUUCUGACGCUGAGGAACUAAAGCGUGGGUAGCAAACAGG